GUCAGGAUGAACGCUGGCGGCGUGCCUAACACAUGCAAGUCGAGCGGAGAUAAGUUGAAGCCUAGCGAUCUUAUCUUAGCGGCGGAUGGGUGAGUAACACGUGGGUAACCUGCCCUGUACUGGGGAAUAACAGCUGGAAACGGCUGUUAAUGCCGCAUAUGCGCACGGAGCCGCAUGACUCUGGGCGGAAAGAUUUAUCGGUACAGGAUGGGCCCGCGCCGGAUUAACUAGUUGGCGGGGUAACGGCCCACCAAGGUGAUGAUCCGUAGCCGACCUGAGAGGGUGACCGGCCACAUUGGGACUGAGACACGGCCCAAACUCCUACGGGAGGCAGCAGUGGGGGAUAUUGCACAAUGGGGGAAACCCUGAUGCAGCGACGCCGCGUGAAGGAUGACGUAUUUCGGUAUGUAAACUUCUAUCAGCGGGGAAGAAGAUGACGGUACCCGACUAAGAAGCCCCGGCUAACUACGUGCCAGCAGCUGC
rnacentral:rRNA from 1 species